CAAAAAAUUCUGAGGGAAGAGUACCACCUUACAUCUCAAUUUCACUAGUUUUCUCUUUCAUACAUUGAUUGCGAAAAUUUAUUAGUUGCUUAAACCCAUAAAAAAUGUCUGUAUCCUACUAUGAUACACGUAACUGCGCGCACAUGCAACUAAAUAGUUUCUUUCGUAUGUUUGUAUUAGUGCAUUUCAGUGGAAUGAUUCUUUAAAGUGUGACGAGGUUAGUAGGAUAGUUCCAGACGCGCAGAAUAAUAUAUCCUUCUCGUAUGUUUGUUUUCAUAAUUCAAUUGCUACUUUUUAAACGUCAAAUGUAUUUAUGUACUGAAAGGAGAUUAUUAUGUACUUCAAUCGUAUCAAAGUGCGUCAUCGUUUAAAAAAUGAAAUAAAGCACAAUUAUUUCAAAUGAUGUUUCGCCUCUCACAAAUGGGAAUGGCAAGAGUAAAACAACGCUGUCGCCGUCGAAUGCUAUCAACCAGACUGCAAAUGGAAUUGUAUACAAUAAAGAGUAACAUAAACAACAUUGAAACGGAAAAGCACCCACGGGAGCAGCAGUAUCAGGAAGAGGAGAAUUCUAUGAUGAUCCUAAUCGGAGCAAAUCUUCAUUCGAAAAGGUUCCUCUACACACAGCCUUCCUAGUAUAUCUUGGCUUUUACCUGCUCAUGAUAUUGGGCUACAUCAAUCAAUUUAUGUGUGCCCGAAAAGUAGCUAAAGAAAAUAAUCGAGAGGGCUAUGUUACGCUGUACGAUACCUUCGAGAAUUCUAUUCACGGUAUGUCUAUUGCUGGAAUUUCCCAAUUUGCAGUGUCCCUGGUAGGGAGGUAACUCUCAAAGAUCGCAUAACCAAGGAUUACGGUUGGACAUUUGAGUUCACUGGAAAAGAAACAAGAUGCUUGAACAGAGUUGCAGAACAGACGGCUUGGCUUUAGACAGUCCCCGUUGUAAAGUGUGUUGGAGUGUUCGAUUGUCCGAAGUUAUUGCAUUGAAGAAGAAAUACAAACCUUAUUUGCAUUUGUAUGAGACGCAUAGUGUGGUAGCAAUGGGACCAAAUGGUCGCGGUACUGUCGACUAUUAUGGCGCCGAUCCGAAAGAUGUUGAUAUUCUAAUGGGAAAAUUUAAGAGCUUUAUCAGUGCUGGUGUUUAUAUUGCUGGAACAAAGAGCUGUAGGUCGUACACAAACUUUCCGUAAGGUAGCGGUUGUUGGAGUUGGGUUUCCUGCCACUCCAAUUGUGGAAUGACGUACAUAUGUAUACGCUUAAGAGCAGUUUGAUUAUGCCUUACAAGUGAAUAGUGAUUGAUGAAAUAAGUGAUUCAGUAAUCAGUUGGCCUAAAGUAUUCAUUUAAAGUAAGAGAUUCUAAUCCGAUUAUUUAUUAAGUUAAAAGGAAUAAAUAAAUAAUAAUAAAUAAAUGAAUAAGGUCAUUUUAUAAUUCGUUUAAUAAGAAUUUCAUUUAUUUGAUGUAUCUUCCCAUAUACAUAUAUAUAAGUAUAAAGUUAGUUACUAAAGAUCUAUUAUAUUUCUAUCACUAAAAAUAAAUAGGUAAAGCGAAAUUGAAAGAUGUUUUAUUUUCAUCGCAGUAGGAAAAAGCGGAGUUCUAGAUACAUUUUUUGAAAUUGCCCUUUUACAAGGCGUUGUGAGUUCAACGGGUGAACCCAAUAUUGCCUUUUGAUUGCAGGUUUAUUCCUUCUUUCUAAUUCAAACGCACAUAUCAGUGCCAUUAUGUAAAAAUCCAUGCCUAGAAAAUUUUGACCUUCAAAAAACAAAAAAUAUAUUUUAUAUAAUUUUGUAUUCCAACAAUAUAUCUACUCUUUUCUUUCAUAAGCAAAAAAAUAGGACAAAUUUGAAACUAUUUUGUUUCGUGUAUAUGAGAUAGAAAUAGUGAAUAAAUGUUUUCUGUGUAUUGGUUUAUUUCGUUGAUUACUUUUGGAGUUGCUUAU